AUAUACUCUGAGGUAUCCAGCCAGCAGGAGGGAGCUGAACCCUUUGCCAGGACAGAAACCAUGCAGGUUUCCCGACUACACCAAGCACCUAAGAGCAGCACCCUAGCUGUCCCAUGUAAAAUGGUAAUUUGAUAAUUACCAUUAAUAAUGCUGCAAUCCCUCAGCAUUACUUCAUUUAUGGAACAAAUUUCUACUUCCUGACAGUAACUGUUCAUUUUAGUCACAUUUUUAACAGAGGGACUUGGGGAGUAGGGGUAGAGAUCAUCCCACCUUACAUGUUGCCAACCAGCUGGGCAGGGAGAUUCGAGACCACUAGCCAAGUUAUGAAGCAUUUAAUGACAGGGGGAAAAAAUGGGCUUUAAUUUUGGCACAAGCAUCCUCAAGUUGAACAGCGGCACUGACGUCACUACUUUUAUAACCAAAACAACAACAGAUUUUUUUCCGCCAGACUGUCGUUUGUCCCCGCUGUCCCCGGAUGGGCACGGAGCGGGUCAAGCCGGGGGCCGGGUGUGAGUCAGCUGCGGCACCGGCCCGCGGUGAAACAUCAGCGGGCGCGCCGCGCUCCGGGUGUCGGCCGGGAGCUCCGCCGAUGGCUUUUUGAGUUUUCUCUGCUUCAUUAGUUGAGGCCGGAGCACCAUCAGUGAAUAAGCAGUUUCAACUAUGUCAUUGAGGAAGGCUUCUGAGUAUAAAGUUUUUUCCAGUUUGAGACAGCUGCAUCAUUAUGUGUUGGAUGAAUAAAUGGGCAGUGAGGAAGAAGUGGAGACCCAGGUGCUGAGGAAAAAGGAAGAGACUAAGAAAAGAAAUGGAAGAACUCAUAAGCAAGAUUGCUCAUGUUGGAUUCUGGAUGAACAGCAAGAUCCAGUUUUCACUGCUGCUGGAAAUUUUUAAACAGCAAGAAUAUAAAUCUGUGAAGAGGGAAACAUACAAAGCUACAAGAUGGAGGAUAUAAGAAUUCUUGACAUAGCUUAGAAACACAAAGUUGGUCUUAGUUUAUCUGUUUGGUAAAUCCUGUAUUAAAAUUCUUGCUAUUCCUCAGAAAAUUCUGCAGACUUGUAAACCAGCUGUUUAUUUCCUUCAGUCCUAAUCUUAUGUUUGCAAUAAAAGCAUUUGGAAACUUGA